rnacentral:tRNA from 1 species
GCCGGGGUGCCCGAGCGGACCAAGGGGCUGGCCUGGAGAGUUAACCGGUCAGCCAGUGGGGGAAACCCUGCACGGGUUCAAAUCCCGUCCCCGGCG